rnacentral:rRNA from 1 species
UACGUAGGGUGCAAGCGUUAAUCGGAAUUACUGGGCGUAAAGCGUGCGCAGGCGGUUGUGCAAGACAGAUGUGAAAUCCCCGGGCUUAACCUGGGAACUGCGUUGGAAACUGUCGGGCUAGAGUGUAGAAGAGGGGGGUAGAAUUCCACGUGUAGCAGUGAAAUGCGUAGAGAUGUGGAGGAAUACCGAUGGCGAAGGCAGCCCCUGGGCUAACACUGACGCUCAUGCACGAAAGCGUGGGGAGCAAACAGGAUUAGAUACCCUAGUAGU